CAGUCGCCACGGGAAUACGAAGGGUGCAAGCGUUACUCGGAAUUACUGGGCGUAAAGGGUGCGUAGGCGGUUUGAUAAGUCUUGUGUGAAAUCUCUGGGCUCAACCCAGAGUCUGCACAGGAAACUGUCGGGCUUGAGAGUGGGAGAGGUGAGUGGAAUUUCCGGUGUAGCGGUGAAAUGCGUAGAUACCGGAAGGAACACCUGUGGCGAAAGCGGCUCACUGGAUCAUUUCUGACGCUGAUGCACGAAAGCUAGGGGUGCAAACAGGAUUAGAGACCCGUGUAGUCCCUGUCUCUUAUAC
rnacentral:rRNA from 1 species